CAGGGUGGCGGAGGCGGUGGC
rnacentral:misc_RNA from 1 species